rnacentral:rRNA from 1 species
AAUCAACGCUGGCGGCGUGCCUCAGACAUGCAAGUCGAACGCGAAAUCCCGAGCAAUCGGGAGAGUAGAGUGGCGCACGGGUGAGUAACACGUAGGUAAUCUACCUUCGGAUGGGGAAUAACAACCGGAAACGGUUGCUAAUACCGCAUAAUGCAGCGGCACCUAAUGGUGACAGUUGUUAAAGCGGGGGAUCGAAAGACCUCGCGUCUGAAGAGGAGCCUGCGGCGGAUUAGCUAGUUGGUAAGGUAAUGGCUUACCAAGGCAACGAUCCGUAACCGGCCUGAGAGGGCGGUCGGUCACACUGACACUGACAUACGGGUCAGACUCCUACGGGAGGCAGCAGUCGGGAAUUUUGGGCAAUGGGCGAAAGCCU